UAUUCCUUUUGCUGGCAUUCAGCAGGGCUUGCCACUAGCUUUCGGGCAACAGGACUCGGACACUGUACAAUGAUCUUGUCAGAAAGCGUUGGAGUUGCCUGACUGCUCUGAGCCUUGAUGUAAAAAAACAUGUGUCACCAGACAGUCUUGUUGGCAACAAGGACACCGGAAUGGCAACAACCUUUGUAUGAGGGUAAAAUCUCUUCUCCUCAGACACUGUCAGCCACAGGGCAGUGGUCACAGCCAUGGUCGCAGAGAAAGAAGCCCAAGACCCUGACAACAGCCUCUCGCAGACUGUACCACAUGGCGGGUGUGGGUGCAACUUACACUUUCCUUUCCUCCUUUUGUCUGUCUUUCUCUCCUCUUCCACUUCCUCCCUCCCCCAGUCCUUUGCUUUCUUCUUCUUCCCCAACUUCCCUUCAUUUACACAUUCAGAAGCUUCACUGACCCCUUGCUAGGUCUGGAGUUACAUGGAGAAGCAAGUGAUAGCCGGUACAGUUAAUAGUCUAUUGUUUAAGAAACAUCAGACAAAAAACUAAAGUAACAUGGUUUGGGGCAAUUAUGGAGGAUCUCACACAGUGUGUUAACUUGUGGUUUGGGCCUUGAAGAACAAUCAGGAGCCUUCAGAGAAGACUGGAGUGGAGUGAUGGCGGGGUGGGGUAGGGUGCGGAGGUGCAGAGUGACCAGCACUCAUGGAAUCAGAGAGCUAUGAAGCAUCAUGGCUUCAAAUCAGAGUCACCCAAUGCAGGAUAGGCGCUCAGUGACCCAGCAGCCCAACAAAACAAAACAAAAAAAAAACAGGAAACACCAAGAACUCAAACUGAGAGGACAGAGUAAUUAAGGACAAGAAAUAACCUGCCACACUGCAGGGCUGGCCACAGUGGACUCAUCCAAGCCUUUCGUAAGCAUAAUUUGUUUUUGAGCUAAGUCGCCUGCUGGUAUCCAACAAAAUGGAAUUGUUCUGCGGCUGUGAUUCAUGUGCCCUUCUGUGGAUCUGAGUCCUGCGUUGACCCCUCAAUAUGAUGUGGAUUCUAAAUGAAACAUGUGGAAAUAUGAGGCGAGCACCCUCUCCCAGCAGUGCCUGGCUGUCUGGACUUGGGGUCACAGACCUUACAGACUGGAUGAGUGGUACAGAGAAACACGGAAGGAUGGCUCCCAAAUUCCUUGCCUGCAUAAUUGCAAUAGCAGGAUGGCCAGUAACACAGAUGGCGCAUACUCAGGGAAUGGCAAGGAGAGGAAACCAGUUACCUUCUCGCAGUGCUGCUGAACGGUCAAGUCCCCUCUUCACCUGCCUGCCUUCCCCAACCCUGCCACCUCCUGAGCUACUGCAACUAUGAGAACAUUAUUCAUUAUCCACAGCUCAAAUCUGGGUCCCGGAGCCUCCAGCCGUUGGCCCCAGUCCCAGUCCGGCACAGAAGUCAUCUGAGGCGUGAUCACUGUGUCCCUCCUGUGACUUCCCUUCCACCAGGACUCGUAUCCCAGCCACUCCCUUUCCACCCUUUGCUCACCUCAGACACCUGUCUUCUCAUUCAAACUGGUAUUCUGGAGGAAUGAAAUCUACCAGGUGGAGUUGAAAAGAGAAUUCUAGGAAGACUCACCUCCCAUUCUAGAAUCUUUGCUAUAUUUUUCUGCAGUCAAGAACGACAUCACCUGUGACCACAUCUUAUUCUCACUGCUGCCUGGCCCUGCACGCGGUGUUGGCCAAGUCGCCUCCUCGCACUGGGCGGCGCCACAGCCCCCCAGCCGCGCAGCCCCUCUUGUCAUCUCCAGGCUAAGUCGGGUCCUGGCUUGCUCCCAAAGGCUUUGCAUCAGAUGAGAACAAGAACUGAACUUUGUCCCGGCCUAAGUCUCCCACGACAUUGCCUCCCACCUGCCCACCAUUGUGUCCUUUCUGCUCUUGUCACACACCUAACCACUGCCUCCGUGAGGCUUGACACCUUGCCAUUCCCUUGGCCUCAAAACUGCCCCCACCAACACCUUCCAUGAUCGGUUUGGUCUUAUCUGCCCCUCAGAGAAGCACGCCUACCCUGACUACUUUCUCUGAAAGAGUACCCGGUUACUCCCCACCUACACCUUCAUAGAACCUUUACCCAUUUGUAAUUACCUAACCAACUUGUUAGUUUAUCUGCUGGCCCCCUCCUCACUGUAAUGUAAACUCACAAGGGCGAGGAGUGUGUCUUGCUAAACUCUGUGUCUUCCGCACCCAUAACCUGGCAUCUGGUAGGGCGCGGUGACUACAGGGUAAGUGGAGGAUUGUGAGUGUAAUUGUAAAAGCCAAAGGCAUAAAAAUAA